rnacentral:rRNA from 1 species
GACGAACGCUGGCGGCGUGCCUAAUACAUGCAAGUCGAGCGGAAGUUGGAGAGCUUGCUCUUCAACUUUAGCGGCGGACGGGUGAGUAACACGUGGGCAACCUGCCCUGCAGAUCGGGAUAACUCUGGGAAACCGGUGCUAAUACCGAAUAGUUUUCGCCACCUCCUGGUGGCGUACGGAAAGACGGUUUCGGCUGUCACUGCAGGAUGGGCCCGCGGCGCAUUAGCUAGUUGGUGGGGUAACGGCCCACCAAGGCAACGAUGCGUAGCCGACCUGAGAGGGUGAUCGGCCACACUGGGACUGAGACACGGCCCAGACUCCUACGGGAGGCAGCAGUAGGGAAUCUUCCGCAAUGGACGAAAGUCUGACGGAGCAACGCCGCGUGAGUGACGAAGGUUUUCGGAUCGUAAAACUCUGUUGUGAGGGAAGAACAAGUACCACGUAACUACUGGUACCUUGACGGUACCUCACCAGAAAGCCACGGUUAACUACGUGCCAGCCGCCGCCGUAACAC